ACGAACGCGUGGCGGCGCGACCUAAUACAUGACAAGUCGAGCGAAGAAGACGUAGACAAUUACGUUUAGUAAAGCGGACGAACGGGUGAGGAAUACAUGGGCAACCUACCCUCGAGUGGGGAAUAACUAGCCGAAAGGUUAGCUAAUACCGCGUACGCUCCUUGGACUUCGGUUCAGGAGGAAAGACGAUACCGUGGUAUCGCGCUCUUGGAUGGCUCAUGUCCUAUCAGCUUGUUGGGAGGUAACGGCUCACCAAGGCUUCGACGGGUAGCUGGUCUGAGAGGACGAUCAGCCACACUGGCACUGCGACACGGGCCAGACUCCUACGGGAGGCAGCAGUAAGGAAUAUUGCGCAAUGGGCGAAA
rnacentral:rRNA from 1 species